rnacentral:rRNA from 1 species
AGCGAACGCUGGCGGCAGGCUUAACACAUGCAAGUCGAGCGGGCGUAGCAAUACGUCAGCGGCAGACGGGUGAGUAACGCGUGGGAACGUACCUUUUGGUUCGGAACAACCCAGGGAAACUUGGGCUAAUACCGGAUAAGCCCUUACGGGGAAAGAUUUAUCGCCAAAAGAUCGGCCCGCGUCUGAUUAGCUAGUUGGUGAGGUAACGGCUCACCAAGGCGACGAUCAGUAGCUGGUCUGAGAGGAUGAUCAGCCACAUUGGGACUGAGACACGGCCCAAACUCCUACGGGAGGCAGCAGUGGGGAAUAUUGGACAAUGGGCGCAAGCCUGAUCCAGCCAUGCCGCGUGAGUGAUGAAGGCCCUAGGGUUGUAAAG